AGUGAACGCUGGCGGUAGGCCUAACACAUGCAAGUCGAACGGCAGCACAGUAAGAGCUUGCUCUUACGGGUGGCGAGUGGCGGACGGGUGAGGAAUACAUCGGAAUCUACUUUUUCGUGGGGGAUAACGUAGGGAAACUUACGCUAAUACCGCAUACGACCUACGGGUGAAAGCAGGGGAUCUUCGGACCUUGCGCGAUUGAAUGAGCCGAUGUCGGAUUAGCUAGUUGGCGGGGUAAAGGCCCACCAAGGCGACGAUCCGUAGCUGGUCUGAGAGGAUGAUCCGCCACACGGGACAGGAGACCAGGCCCAGCACCCUAGGGGAGGCAGGAGUGGGGAAUAUUGAAAAAGGGGCGAAAGCCUGACCCAGCCAAACCGCGGGGGUGAAGAAGGCCUUCGGGUUGUAAAGCCCUUUUGUUGGGAAAAAAAAGAAGCAGGUUAAACCCCCGCUGUUCCGACGGUACCCAAAGAAAAAGCCCCGGCUAACUUCGU
rnacentral:rRNA from 1 species